rnacentral:rRNA from 1 species
CCUACGGGAGGCAGCAGUGGGGAAUAUUGGACAAUGGGCGAAAGCCUGAUCCAGCAAUGCCGCGUGAGUGAUGAAGGCCUUAGGGUUGUAAAGCUCUUUUACCAGGGAUGAUAAUGACAGUACCUGGAGAAUAAGCUCCGGCUAACUCCGUGCCAGCAGCCGCGGUAAUACGGAGGGAGCUAGCGUUGUUCGGAAUUACUGGGCGUAAAGCGUACGUAGGCGGUUAUUCAAGUCAGAGGUGAAAGCCUGGAGCUCAACUCCAGAACUGCCUUUGAAACUAGAUAGCUAGAAUCUUGGAGAGGUGAGUGGAAUUCCGAGUGUAGAGGUGAAAUUCGUAGAUAUUCGGAAGAACACCAGUGGCGAAGGCGACUCACUGGACAAGUAUUGACGCUGAGGUACGAAAGCGUGGGGAGCAAACAGGAUUAGAUACCCUGGUAGUCCACGCCGUAAACGAUGAUAACUAGCUGUUCGGGCUCUACGAGCUUGAGUGGCGCAGCUAACGCAUUAAGUUAUCCGCCUGGGGAGUACGGUCGCAAGAUUAAAAACUCAAAAGAUAGUACGCGNGAGAGAGCGACGACGACGACGAGGAGGAGAG